rfam:Clostridium phytofermentans ISDg, complete genome.
GUCCCCAUAGUUAAACGGAUAUAAUAAAUCCCUCCUAAGGAUUAGUUACAGGUUCGAUUCCUGUUGGGGACG